rnacentral:lncRNA from 1 species
GAGAAAUUUGCCUUCACUGUCCCAGCAAUUAAUUUUAAGGAACCUGUUAAAAGAUAUUGCUGGAAAGUACUUUCCCAGGGAAUGCGUAAUAGUCCUACCUUAUGCCAAAAAUAUGUAGACCAGGCGAUAGCUCCCAUAAGAAAUAACUUUCCUGAUGCGUAUAUUAUUCAUUUUAUGGAUGAUAUAUUAUUGGCUCAUGCUAAUCCAGAGGUACUUUCAGAAAUUUUUACUCAGUUAGAGGCUUCACUUAUAGCAAUGGGUUUAUGCAUUGCUCCUCAAAAAAUUCAAAAGAUGCCUCCCUUUCAAUAUUUAGGUCAGAUAAUUCAAGGACAUACAAUCCGUCCUCAAAAUCUUCAGAUAAGAGUUAAGGAGUUACAUACCCUUAAUGAUUUUCAAAAGCUAUUAGGAGAUAUUAAUUGGCUGAGGCCAUCCUUAAAACUAACUACUUUUCAGUUAAGUCCUUUGUUUCAGAUAUUACAAGGAAAUCCUUCUCCAACCUCUCCAUGUCAGCUGAACUUAAAGGCUAGAACAGCCUUUAAAAGGGUUGAAAAUGCAAUUAAAAAUGCACAACUUACUAGAGUUGAUCCUAAGGAAAUAGUGUAUUUAUUAAUAUUUCCAACUGAGCAUACCCCAAAAGGAGCCAUAUGGCAAAGAUUAGGAGUUAUUGAGUGGAUUUAUUUAUCCCACUCCCCUCAAAAAACAUUGAUUCCUUUUCAUGACUCUAUUGGUCAAUUAGUAAUUAAAGGUAGAACUAGGAUUUUACAAUUAAGUGGAUCUGAGCCUGAUAUCAUAAUUAUUCCAUUUUCUGUUCAACAGACUAAUUGGCUUUUUCAAACUUCUAGCUUAUGGCAGAUAGCUUUUGCUGAUUUUCCUGGCCAGAUAGAUAGCCAUUACCCUCAUUAUAAGAUUAUCCAAUUUGCAUCAUUAACGUCACUUAUUUUUCCAAAGAUUGUGCGUGCACGUCCUAUAGAUGAAGCUUUAUCGGUGUUCACUGAUGGUUCAAGCUCAGGUAAAGCAGGUUUUUAUAGUCAUGUUCACACAGAGGUAAUGCAAACUUCACAUACUUCUGCCCAAAGAGCAGAGCUUCAAGCUCUGAUUUGUGCCUUAAAUUACUUUUCAAAUGAGCCUAUUAAUAUUUAUUCUGACAGCUUAUAUGCAGUUGGAGUUACCAAAAAUAUUGAAACUUCAGUUAUUGGGUAUACUUCAUCACAAGAGUUAUUUGAAUUAUUUCAUAAUUUACAGAAGGCAGUGCUAAUGUGAAAAUACCCAUGUUUCAUAGAACACAUACGGGCUCAUACUAAUCUUCCAGGACCUUUAGUUUCAGGUAAUGACAAAAUUGAUAAAUUAGUAGCUUUUUGUCAACAGAUGUCUUCAUAUGACUGUGCACAAGCUUCCCAUUCCUUGCAUCAUCAAAAUGCUUCUAGCUUACGUAAAAAAUUUAAUAUUACCAGAGAACAAGCUCGUCAAAUUGUAAGCCAAUGCCCUAAGUGUGUUAUUCACACUCCAUCUCCACCAUCAGGGGUAAAUCCCUGUGGAUUAAAACCAAAUCAAAUAUGGCAAAUGGAUGUAACUCAUAUUCCUCAAUUUGGUAAGCAAUGUUAUGUACAUGUCAUAGUUGACACAUAUUCCAGAUUUAUUUUUGCCACAGCACGUACUAAGGAAAAUACUCAACAUGUAAUUUCUCAUUGCCCAGCAGCUUUUUCUGUGUUAGGGUGCCCUAUGCAGAUUAAAACAGAUAAUGCACCAGCUUAUGUAAGCUCUUCUUUUCAACAAUUUUGCCAAGAGUUUCAAAUUAAUCAUAAAGCAGGAAUUCCUUAUAACCCCCAAGAUCAAGCCAUUGUGGAAAGAGCUCAUUUAUCUAUUAAGCUUCAAUUACAAAAAUUAAAAGGGGGGAAUAGGUUUAUGACUCCCCCAAAUAGCCUCAAUCAUGCCUUGUUCAUUUUAAAUUUUUUAAACUGUGACAUAGAAGGCCACACUGCGGUUGAGAGGCAAAUGUCUCCCUCAGUAACAGGCCUUUUAGGCAGAGUUUUGUGGAAAGAUUUACAGACUGGUCAAUGGAAAGGCCCAGAUCCAGUGAUUAUGUGGGGCAGAGGUCAUGCUUGUAUUUUUCCAGAAGGUGCUUUUUGUCCUAUCUGGGUGCCUGAACGUGCAAUCAGACAUGGAAGAGAUAGAACCGAGAUUCAAGCGACUGAAGAUCGACCCAGAGAAGCCCCCAUCCAAAAGGAAGAGAUAUUGGAAAAAGACAAAGAUAAACCAGAUUGACCCAGCCAAAAAGCUGAUUUCAUGGGAAGAUGUGAAGAAGCUAAUAACACAGGCUGCCUGAAUAAUUCGACUCCUAGGAAAGAACAGGACCCCAGUCUUGCUGGGCUGCCAGGUAAAGGGGAACCAGAUAGACACUUACUGGACAUAUUUCCCAGAUCCACCCCUGGUACAUCUAGCUGUGUGGACUGGAGAAUCUAUUCCAGUGUUUACUAAUGACUCAUUCAUGAUGGGAGGAUUUACAGAUACUCAUAUUACUCCCAAUCAUGUGACUAGAUUUAAUUAUUCUGGCUACAGUGCCCAAUUACCUUUGUGUUGGUCCCACGAUAAACAUGCUGGCUGGCUGAAAGUAUCAUUCAAGGAAAAGACAGCAAUUGGUAGACCUAGACUGACAAAUUAUUCUAUUUAUGGAGACAUAAAACCUUAUACUAGAUCAGUAAUUAAGAUGGGACUUUCCCAUAACAAGCCAGUCAUUUCUGCAAAACCUCCAUGGAUACCCCACUGUCCAAAUAGUUCUACAAUUGAUAUUGGCACAUUUCCUAGAUGGAUGGAUUGUGUAAAUACUUUUCCUGUACAACAUAAGGUGUCCAAAGAUAGUGGGUAUAUUUUAGACUGGUCUCCAAAAAUUGAUAAAAGACAAUUAUGAAAAAAUUCUGCUAUGACACCUGCAGGAUUUGUUAGUAAUAUUUUGACUUACAGUGAGGGUGGUAUUCAAAAGGAUGUUUGGCGCUUAAUUGCUGCCUCAGAAUUCUUACAUUUUACAGACAAACCUUUACCAAAAUUUGUUGGCAAGAACUAUAAGGAGGGAUCUUGCUAUGGCUUACGAGCCUGUGUCCAAUCUCCUUAUGUUUUAAUUAUUGGAAAUGUAAAAGUUAAAUGGAUAGAUGACAGAUAUAUUGUUACUUGUAACAAAUGUAACCUAACCAAUUGUAUUACUAGGUAUAAUGGAGGAAAAGGAGUGCUGAUACUUCAUCAGCCCUCUUUUGUUUUAUUACCUGCUAAUAUUUCAGAGCCAUGGUUUGCUGAUACUGGUUUAAAAGUCUUGCAGCAAAUUCAUGCCCAGCUAGCAAGACCUAAACGUGCUAUUGGAAUUAUAAUUGUUGGUGUUUUGGCGUUAGUCUCUUUCAUUGCAUCCACUGUUUCUGCGUCUCUGACAUUGUCUCAAAAUAUUCAGCAUGCAAAAUUUCUUAAUAAUUUAGCUCAAAAUACUUCCAAGGCUCUGCGUAAUCAAGUAAAUAUUGAAGAAAGGAUUGAGACUAAAUUAAACGCCUUAGAGGCGACUGUUAUAGACAUAGGUAGUGAACUUUCAGCUUCAAAAUUUAAAGAAAGGCUUAAAUGCCACGCAAAUUAUAAAUAUGUGUGUGUUACAGCUGCCAAGUACAACGCUUCUCUCUGGGAUUGGGAGAAGGUUAAAAACCAUUUGUUAGGUAUUUGGGAAAAUAAUAAUAAUAGCUUGGAUCUUUUGGAACUUCAUCACCAUAUCCAAGACAUUCAAAAUAAUAGAGCUGAUUUUUCGGAUCCUUCUUCUUUGGCUAACCAAAUAUUGAAGGAGUUAAAUGGAUUUAACCCUGGAAAUAUUCUUAAACACUUGGCCUGGUACAUUAUUGGAUUGUUCUCUUUGCUGUUAAUUCUCUUUUGUGUUGUAAUUAUAGGAUGGAGAGUCUUCAGAACAAGAAAGCAGAAACUCAAAAGAGUGAACCACCGCCUGAUUUUUAAGAGAAAAAAGGGAGAAUAUGUGGGAAGCCAUUCUCACACGUCAUUGGGCACCUCCCUGAUUAUGUGUGAGGCAUUCUGGCCAAACUGUGUCGGAGCUAAUCCCCACCCUCUCCAGGUGAAAGAGCCUGUCUGAGUGGGGGUGUGACUGACCAUUGACCCUGAGGCCAAUCACUGACCCUGACCUUGUAAUGCUGCCCCCCCUUGACCUUCAUUGGAUGGAGUUUUUCCCUGAAUUUCUUGUUCCCCAAUAAAAGGCCACUCCCUGGAGUGCUCUCUCUCUCUCUCUCUCUCUCUCUCUCUCUCUCUCUCUCUCUCUCUCUCCUGUUAGUCCUGAAUAAACCUUGCUGCCCCACCAGGUGGCUUGAGGCAGGAGCCAGAGGGGAGAGCCAUCUCGGACCUGGUCA